ACCUUCUGAACUUGAUUCCAGCGUAAUAAUUUGUUCAUCUCUUCACUGUUUCGGAAAACCGUGAUCAUCUUUUUCGCGGCGUCUGUAAGAAACUGUACGGCGUGUUCGUCCUUAAAGAUCUCCUGAAUGUGUUUGGAGAUCUCCGUGGCAUCUUUCAAGUAUAUCUCAACACCAUCGAGUCUUCAUUCGACAUUAAUUGCUGUACGACAUUCUCGGUUAUUAAAGCUUUCUGCUGGCUCACUUCAGCUCGCGUUUCUUUCAACCGUUGGUCAAUCACGUCUGUCCUUUCGAUCUGUCGUGGUAGUGGAUGCCAUUGUGCCGCCUCUAGUUUGCUAAACGAGCUUCCCAUCUCGGAGGUGCACUGUAGCUGUGAGU
rnacentral:lncRNA from 1 species